rnacentral:misc_RNA from 1 species
AAGUCGUAACAAGGUUUCCGUAGGUGAACCUGCGGAAGGAUCAUUAUUGUAUUUUAACCACUUUCCAGUGGCAAACUUUGUGAACUGUAACAUGCAACUUGCAGUCAGUAGAGCAGUGGUAGCAGCGGACGUGAGGGAGUUGCCGGUUAAUCUGCCAGUCUGGCAGCGACACUGGCUCUACUUCCGCCGGCUCUGCCCUGCCAACUGCUGCGUUUUACACGUGUACAACUUAAACUUUAAACUUAAGCUUCUUGUAUAUAACUUAAAUACAACUUUUAGCAACGGAUCUCUUGGCUCUC